rnacentral:rRNA from 1 species
UGCGUAGGCGGGCUAAUAAGUCAGUGGUGAAAUCUUCCGGCUCAACCGGGAACCUGCCAUUGAUACUGUUAGUCUUGAGUUCGGCUGAGGUAGGCGGAAUGUGUAAUGUAGCGGUGAAAUGCUUAGAUAUUACACAGAACACCAAUUGCGUAGGCAGCUUACUAGACCGACACUGACGCUGAGGCACGAAAGCGUGGGGAGCGAACAGGAUUAGAUACCCUGGUAGUCCC